UUUGCAAUGCUUACAAAUUCCCACAGGCUCAUGGCUGUGACUCUUCUGUACAACAGGCUGCCUCUCCAGAUUUUUGGUUCCUCACUUUUGACGUGGAAGAUGUUUCUGAAGCUGUUCAAUGCUUUUGGCUCCAAGGAACAGAAACCCAACCGCCCUGGCUUGGAGUAAUUAGGAAGACAAACAGGCUUCCAAGGGAUCAUAAUAAUAAAAUAUAACAUAAAAGAUAAACGGACAUACUGGAACUACAGGCAAAAUAAACAAGCAUCAGGAAACGAAUCCAAGAGAAGACACAAGACACAGAAAUCCACUCAUUCACAUACUCAGGAGUCCCAUAAAAAGACGAAACCGGAAGCCGUGAUACCCACGCACGCAGAGGACUUGAUGCCGAGCCGCGCAGGCCCCGAGCAUGCUGCCUCAGUCUCUCUCAUUGAAACCUUCAGAACAACUCACCUCCUUGUAGCUUCUCCAGUGGUCAGUGCCUCAUGGGGUCCCCUGUUGCCUUUGUUGUGACCCCUAGCUCAGUGCACUCUUGAAACUUACAGGCUUUGUCCAAGGCCAGGUGGACUAAUGUGACACAGGUGAGUCUGGAUCAAACCCUGUCCUUCCUUUGGAAUGUCCCCCCAGAACCCCAGCUGAUGAUAGCUUGAAAUGAGAGUCCAGGGUAGAAGCAAAUUCAUUUUGAGGUUCACUGUAAAAUAUAAUGACCGAUUUUUUUUAAAGCCUUGGACAUGAAGAUCUACGUUUCUUUCAUUGUCCAUCUGUAACUAACCUCCCUCUGUGGAAGAUGAAAUCUGAUAGAAAUGGAAAGUCAUAGAACAGAUGAGUAAAGAAUGCAGACUGUCUUAUUUCACUGUGUGCGCCCAACCCUGCAGUCCAGCUUGAAGCACAGUGGAGAGGCGAGGGGUUUCUAUUUUUCCAUCUACAUCCUGCACGUAGACAUCACGCUGUAAGGCAGAGGCACCGAUAGUCACCUAGGUAGCAUUUUAAAAAUAUUUAGCAAUGAAUACAUGUCGGUCCAAGAAUGGUGAGUACCACAGGUGCUCGUGAUUAGCCUAUUCAACGCUGUGGAGUGGGUCCAGAACGAACAGUGUAAAUGAGUUAUCAUAAUCAUUUGGAGAUAUCAGUGACUUGGAACAGUGUCUGGCUACACCCCAACCCUUGUUAGCACCCCAGCCAAUGGCUCAAUACCCAAAUAGCUGCUAUGUAUAUUCAUACACAAGAAAAAUAAUGUACACCUCCCUCCUCAAGGUAGCAUGCGGUGUCUUUUCUUUCUCAAAAGGAUCCAAGCUUCCCCUAGGGUUAUAGAAACACUGAAAAUAACUACCCUACAGCUUAGGUGAGUAGGAAAAUAGCCCUAAAGUCUGUUGAGCCUUAAAAAGAAGAAACAAGAUUCUAAAAACUGAGGGACAGUGCCCAGCUCCAUGGGACACAGCUAAGACUGAAAUUAUUAGCCUUCACUCUUGAAGCCAUCUGUACCCCUCCUUUGUGACACAUUCACAAAUUGUAUUUCUUGGGUUAGCUAUGCUCCGAGUUGUCACCAAAGACUGAGAAC
rnacentral:lncRNA from 1 species